rnacentral:rRNA from 1 species
GAUGAACGCUGGCGGCGUGCCUAAUACAUGCAAGUCGAGCGAACAGACGAGGAGCUUGCUCCUCUGACGUUAGCGGCGGACGGGUGAGUAACACGUGGAUAACCUACCUAUAAGACUGGGAUAACUUCGGGAAACCGGAGCUAAUACCGGAUAAUAUAUUGAACCGCAUGGUUCAAUAGUUAAAGACGGUUUUGCUGUCACUUAUAGAUGGAUCCGCGCCGCAUUAGCUAGUUGGUAAGGUAACGGCUUACCAAGGCGACGAUGCGUAGCCGGCCUGAGAGGGGGAUCGGCCACACUGGAACUGAGACACGGUCCAGACUCCUACGGGAGGCAGCAGUAGGGAAGCUUCCGCGAUGGGCGAAAGCCUGACGGAGCAACGCCGCGUGAGUGAUGAAGGUCUUCGGAUCGUAAAACUCUGUUAUUAGGGAAGAACAAAUGUGUAAGUAACUAUGCACGUCUUGACGGUACCUAAUCAGAAAGCCACGGCUAACUACGUG